GACUAACAAAUGUUGAUGGAUACCAAGUACUACUACCAAUCAUCAAUUUCUAUCAUGUAACUUCUCGGCAUUUUGUAUUCCGGGCUUCAGUUAUAGCAGCCAUUUUGCGUCGAUGGAUAUUGUGUCGAUGGAUAUUGUUUUGUUACACAACACUAUAAGGACUUGAGGUGAUUCGUGGGUUGUAGGGCAUGUGGAGCUUCAUAAUUAUGUUACAUAUUG